rnacentral:rRNA from 1 species
GACGAACGCUGGCGGCGUGCUUAACACAUGCAAGUCGAACGGAAAGGCCCUGCUUGCCGGGUACUCGAGUGGCGAACGGGUGAGUAACACGUGGGUGAUCUGCCCUGCACUUCGGGAUAAGCCUGGGAAACUGGGUCUAAUACCGGAUAGGAGCCAUUUUUAGUGUGAUGGUUGGAAAGUUUUUUCGGUGUAGGAUGAGCUCGCGGCCUAUCAGCUUGUUGGUGGGGUAAUGGCCUACCAAGGCGGCGACGGGUAGCCGGCCUGAGAGGGUGGACGGCCACAUUGGGACUGAGAGACGGCCCAGACUCCUACGGGAGGCAGCAGGGGGGAAUAUUGCACAAUGGGCGCAAGCCUGAUGCAGCGACGCCGCGUGGGGGAGGACGGCCUUCGGGUUGUAAACUCCUUUCGCUAGGGACGAAGCUUUUUGUGACGGUACCUAGAUAAGAAGCACCGGCUAACUACGUG